CAGAGGUAAAGCUAAAUUAUAUGAGGUGGAUUGUCUAUCAAAGGGACAGUAGAGUGAUCAUAUUCACCCAUAACUUCCUUUUUGUUGACUCCAUGUACAACUGGUAUUGGCGCAGAACUCACUAACUCAAACUUACAGCGAAGUUGGAGAAAGGACCAAGCUAAUACUGAAAGAAACGAGGUGGACGGGCAAACAAAGGGUCUGGUGAGUUUUUCAAAGAACAUUUCUUUCAUCAAUUUGGUGGAUAAUUAAUUUCAACGUGAAAUCUGAAAUAUGUAGCUGCACUGGAAGCAAUUGUCUGGUAGUAAAUCAUCUAAAACUUAUGAAAAAUGUCAGCAACAAAGUCAAAUAACUGAUUUACAUAAAGAUCCACAUCAAAAUGGGGAAGUGCAUGAAGACCCAAUUCAAAAUGGCAAAGUGCAUGAACAAGCAAAUCAAAAUGGCAAUACGUCAGAAUGGUCAAAUGAACUUGGUGAGGAGGCUGCAGUUGUUCCCAUUGUGGUAAGGCCAGGACACAUUCGCUUUGAACCCCUGGAGAAAGGUCCAAACUCUCUCUCCUCCCGCCUUUUGUGGUGUUCUGUGUAUCUACUAUGGUCGAGAAUCUUGUUUAAAGUGAUCUUGGUUCUCCAAUUUAGCUGAUUUAUAGAGGUAUAGUCUACCCAAAUUUAGCCAGUUGAUCUGAAUUUGAACAUAUCUAGCUUGAGUUUCAUGAUUGGUCUUAUUCAGUCCCCAAUGUUGACUGCAGACAUUAAUUUAGAUUCUGGGCCCUUUUCCUUUGUCUGGGACUGUUUUAUUUGAACAGAAAAAAUUGACCUGAAAUUCCCAUUAAGGAAGAAGGCCAUAUAGGUUCACUAUCACAAAGAUUGGUUGAUUACUUGUAAAUAAUCAUCGUUAUUGAAACGAUUUACAACAUACAUUUCUUCACUGUCUUGUUUUUCCUUCCUUUGGCAAUUGGGAAAUGAUGUACCUGUUGGUCUCUAAUAAUUGCAUGACUCUUGUGUGCCAUAUUAACUCAGGGUUCUGAAAUUUGAGAUAUUUUUGGGCUGAUGCAGAGCAUGCUGUGGAACAAAAUCAAGUACCAG
rnacentral:lncRNA from 1 species